AUGUCUCUUCCGGGCGGAGGUCGUGGAGGCUUUGAUCGAGGUGGUGGAGGUGGCGGUUUCAACCGCGGCAGCAGCAGCAACCGCUUCUGAGGUGCAGGCGGUGGAAAUAUCAGAGGUGGCGACAGGGGAGGAUUUGGAUGAGGGGGUGGCCACGGAGGCUUUGACAAAGGCCAAGGCCAAGGACCUCCAGAACGUGCAGUCUUGUUAGGAGAGUUCCUGCAUCCCUGUGAAGAUGACAUAGUUUGUAAACGUACGGCAGAUGAAAAUAAGGUGUCUUAUUUCAAUGCUCCUGUUUACUUAGAAAACAAAGAACAAAUUGGAAAAGCGGAUGAAAUAUUUGGACAACUUAGAGAUUUUUAUUUUUCCGUUAAAAUGUCAGAAAACGAGAAGGCUUCAUCCUUUAAAAAACUCUGGAAGUUUUAUAUAGACCCAUAUGAGCUGCUGCCACUGCAGAGGUUUUUACCUCGGCCUCCAGGUGAGAAAGGACCUCCAAGAUGUGGUGGCAGGGGAGGCCGAGGAGGAAGAAGGGGAGGUGGCAGAGGCAGUGGCAGAAGCGGUGGUUUUAGAGGUGGAAGAGGAGGUGGUGGUUUCAGAGGGAGAGGACGUUAA
rnacentral:lncRNA from 1 species